CCGGGGCCCGGUUGUGCAGGCGGCUCGCUUGGGCCAGAACCCGAGCUCAGCCCCAGCCCGGGGGUCCCGGAGCAGCGCCCUCCACCCCGGCGUCCCCGAGCCCGGCGGAGAUGAAAUCUACAAGGCCAGAAAAAGCGCAUUGCUAACGAGAUGCUGGGCCGUAACAUCAUUUUCUCGUAUUAUUAUUGUUGAAGAAACACAGGAGGAGAAGAGGUCUGCAGCAUGGACAACAGAGACCAAAUGUGGAGCCCCCCGUCAGCCCCCUUGAAUUUCGAGAAUUUUCCAUAACAAGUCCUCCUCUCUAAGAUCCCCCUGGCUUAAGAAAGGUCCAAUUUAUUCUUUGUCACUAUACAAAGCACUUGGGCUAUUUGUCUACAUAUACAGCCCUCAGGCUGUUGCAGACGGGCUGUUUUGAAGAGUCCAAGCAAGUACAUUUUUCCUAACACAAGCACUUAAGAGAAAAAUCUCACAUCCUGUAACUAUUUAGACAACAUGAGCUGUAGUGUCAGACUUGAACUGUGUGUUGAAUCGGGAUCCUGCCUUGCAGAAGCUGUAAGACUUUGGAUAAAGUGCGUCACCUAUGUGAGCCUUGGUUUUCUCAUGUGCCAUAGACCCAUAAUAGCUGAAAUAACAGAAGGUACUUCGUUAAUAAUACAGUCAUGUGUCCCUUUGCAACGAAUAUUCAUUCUGAGAAAUGUGUCCUUAGGCGAUUUCAUCACUGUGUGAACAUCACAGAGCGCACUCACACAAAGCUGGAUGGUACAGCCCACCACACACCUCGGCUGUAUGGUACCGCUCUUAUGGGCCCACCGUCGUAUACGUGGUCUGCUGUUGCCCCAUACGUUAUGUGGCACGUGACUAUAAUUAUUUUUCUUAUUUACCGUUAAAGAAAAUCCUGGAUGUUCUCAUGAAAAACAAACUUUAAGCAUUGAUUCCAAAGUUGGUAAACAUGAGAAAGUGGAAGGAGAUUUAUAAAUAUCUUCUACAGUGUGCUCUAGAAUUAGGAUACCCAGCAGUUGCAGGAAACAAAUCAUUAGGACUCAAGAUCCCACAGAUGCACUCUAUGAAGUUGUAUAAUUGUGUGAAGAUAUUUAAGACAUGAUUUGUGUUGUACUUGAGCAAGCUGGACCACAGAUGUCUGAUGUAGACUUUGCUAGAAGUUUUAUUUUCUAUGCAACCAACACAGUGCCACUAACUAAAGAAGUAAACUUUGGAAGAUUAUGAUACCACUGACUUAUGUCCUCUGCUCAUCUAUUGAGUUACUCUCCAGGGGGUAAACAUGAGGAAUAUCAUAUAUUAUUAAAAUAGGAAUAUUUAGUAAGACUCUGGACUGGAUGUUGGGGGUGGGGGGGCACACAGAACAGUGUAGCCCUUGAAGAGAAUGGCUAAGAUGACCUCAUAUUUUCCCUUAUCUCAUUUCUAUGGUUCUCUAAUAAUGUUUCCAUUAUGAGGGGAAAAAUCCAAAUAAAAUGCAAUAUGUAAAUACCCUUCUAUGUUCUGUAACUGACUCUAUGUGUUUAUUACUAAUAAAAAGGAACUUUAUA
ensembl:lncRNA